rnacentral:rRNA from 1 species
UACGGGGGGGGCAAAUGUUGUUCGGAAUCACUGGGCGUAAAGGGAGCGUAGGCGGGGUCUUAAGUUAGGUGUUUAAUCCCGGGGCCCAACCCCGGACCGGCACUUAAAACAUGGGACUCUUGAAUAGUGGAGAGGUCGGUGGAAUUGGAGGUGUAGCGGUGGAAUGCGUAGAGAUCUCCAAGAACACCAGUUGCGAAGGCGGCCGACUGGACACAUAUUGACGCUGAGGCUCGAAAGCAUGGGGAGCAAACAGG